GACGAAGGGGGCUAGCGUUGUUCGGAAUUACUGGGCGUAAAGCGAGUGUAGGUGGUUGUGCAAGUUGGAUGUGAAAGCCUUGAGCUCAACUCAAGAAAUGCAUUCAGGACUGGGCGACUAGAGGACCGGAGAGGAUAGUGGAAUUCCCAGUGUAGUGGUGAAAUACGUAGAGAUUGGGAGGAACACCAGUGGCGAAGGCGGCUAUCUGGACGGUUUCUGACACUAAGACUCGAAAGCGUGGGGAGCAAACAGG
rnacentral:rRNA from 1 species